rnacentral:rRNA from 1 species
AGCGAACGCUGGCGGCAGGCCUAACACAUGCAAGUCGAGCGCCCAGCAAUGGGAGCGGCAGACGGGAUAGUAACACGUGGGAACGUACCUUUCAGUUCGGAACAACCCAGGGAAACUUGGGCUAAUACCGAAUACGUCCGUAAGGAGAAAGAUUUAUCGCUGAAAGAUCGGCCCGCGUCUGAUUAGCUAGUUGGUGAGGUAAUGGCUCACCGAGGCGACGAUCAGUAGCUGGUCUGAGAGGAUGAUCAGCAUCACUGGGACUGAGACACGGCCCAGACUCCUACGGGAGGGCAGCAGUGGGGAAUAUUGGACAAUGGGCGCAAGCCUGAUCCAGCCAUGCCGCGUGGAUGAUGAAGGCCUUAGGGUUGUAAAGUCCUUUCGGCGGGGAAGAUAAUGACGGUACCCGCCAGAAGAAGCCCCGG